CCUACGGGUGGCAGCAGUGGGGAAUAUUGCACAAUGGGGGAAACCCUGAUGCAGCGACGCCGCGUGAGUGAAGAAGUACCUCGGUAUGUAAAGCUCUAUCAGCAGGGAAGAAAACAACAGUUCCCUGCCUAAAAACCCCCGGCUAACUACGUGCAAGCAGCCGCGGUAAUACGUAGGGGGCAAGCGUUAUCCGGAUGACCUGGGUGUAAAGGGAGCGUAGACGGAGAAGCAAGUCUGAAGUGAAAGCCCGGGGCUUAACCACGGGACUGCUUGGGAAACUGUUGGACUAGAGUGCUGGAGAGGUAAGUGGAAUUCCGAGUGUAGCGGUGAAAUGCGUAGAUAUUAGGAGGAACACCAGUGGCGAAGGCGGCUUACUGGACAGUAACUGACGUUGAGGCUCGAAAGCGUGGGGAGCAAACAGGAUUAGAUACCCGAGUAGUC
rnacentral:rRNA from 1 species